AGCCACAAUGCCAUGGUGGAGGAAGAAAGGGAGGGAGCACCAGGAGAAAGGGAGGGAGGGAGCACUGAAGAGAGCCACACGGAGCCUAUCUACACCGUGUGCGCACGCGUGGUGUCUCUAUGGCGACUAAGAUGGGGGAGAAGUGGAGAGAAAGAGAGAGAGAGAGAGAGAGAGAGAGAGAGAGAGAGAGAGAGAGAGAGAGAGAGAGAGAGAGAGAGAGAGGUGAAGAAGUG
rnacentral:lncRNA from 1 species